GGCAACCUGGCUGAGUGGUUAUAGCGUUAGACUAGAAAUCUAAUUCCUUCGGGAGCACAGGUUCGAAUCCUGUGGUUGUCG